GGGGCUGAUUAUGGAUUUGACAGAAUAUGUAAAACUUUAAGAGCAUGCCGAGGGGCGGUUGGCCUCGUUAAAAGCCGUAAAAAAUAGAUGCAAAUGAUAAAAACUUUGCACCUGCUGCAUUAGCAGCUUAAUCAGUUUAAUAAGCUGAAGGUGUCCUCUCUACUUAGCCUUCUCUCUUAGGACGAGAAACUAGAGAGGUCAAAUUAAAAGAGAUCGCACAAAAGCUAUGCUUGAAGCUAAUGUGUUAAAAGUAAAUUCAGGCUAGUAUUUAGUAGCGUUGUUCAAUUCGCAAUUAAAUAACGAAUAAAAUAACUGAACUAAGCAUGUAGUGCUGAUAGGCAGAACAAUUCUGGACGCGGGUUCAAAUCCCGCCAGCUCCACAA
rnacentral:tmRNA from 1 species